UAGAGUUUGAUCCUGGCUCAGAGUGAACGCUGGCGGCAGGCUUAACACAUGCAAGUCGAGCGGUAACAGGAAUAGCUUGCUAUUUGCUGACGAGCGGCGGACGGGUGAGUAAUGCUUGGGAAUAUGCCUUAUGGUGGGGGACAACAGUUGGAAACGACUGCUAAUACCGCAUAAUGUCUACGGACCAAAGGGGGGGAUCUUCGGACCUCUCGCCAUUUGAUUAGCCCAAGUAAGAUUAGCUAGUUGGUAAGGUAAUGGCUUACCAAGGCGACGAUCUCUAGCUGGUUUGAGAGGAUGAUCAGCCACACUGGGACUGAGACACGGCCCAGACUCCUACGGGAGGCAGCAGUGGGGAAUAUUGCACAAUGGGGGAAACCCUGAUGCAGCCAUGCCGCGUGUGUGAAGAAGGCCUUCGGGUUGUAAAGCACUUUCAGUUGUGAGGAAAGGUGUGUAGUUAAUAGCUGCAUACUGUGACGUUAACAACAGAAGAAGCACCGGCUAACUUCGUGCCAGCAGCCGCGGUAAUACGAGGGGUGCAAGCGUUAAUCGGAAUUACUGGGCGUAAAGCGUUCGUAGGCGGUUGAAUAAGCAAGAUGUGAAAGCCCAGGGCUCAACCUUGGAACUGCAUUUUGAACUGUUCGACUAGAGUACUGUAGAGGGGGGUAGAAUUUCA
rnacentral:rRNA from 1 species